rnacentral:rRNA from 1 species
GAUGAACGCUGGCGGCGUGCCUAAUACAUGCAAGUCGAGCGAACGGACGAGAAGCUUGCUUCUCUGAUGUUAGCGGCGGACGGGUGAGUAACACGUGGAUAACCUACCUAUAAGACUGGGAUAACUUCGGGAAACCGUAGCUAAUACCGGAUAAUAUUUUGAACCGCAUGGUUCAAAAGUGAAAGACGGUCUUGCUGUCACUUAUAGAUGGAUCCGCGCUGCAUUAGCUAGUUGGUAAGGUAACGGCUUACCAAGGCAACGAUGCAUAGCCGACCUGAGAGGGUGAUCGGACACACUGGAACUGAGACACGGUCAAGAAUCCUACGGGAGGCAGCAGUAGGGAAUCUUCCGCAAUGGGCGAAAGCAUGACGGAGCAACGCCGCGUGAGAGAUGAAGGUCUUCGGAUCGUAAAACUCUGUUAUGAGGGAAGAACAUAUGUGUAAGUAACUGUGCACAUCUUGACGGUACCUAAUCAGAAAGCCACGGCUAACUACGUG